UACGGGGGGGGCAAGCGUUGUUCGGAAUUACUGGGCGUAAAGGCUCGUAGGCGGCCAACUAAGUCGGACGUGAAAUCCCCAGGCUCAACCUGGGAACUGCGUCUGAUACUGGAUGGCUUGAAUCCGGGAGAGGGAUGCAGAAUUCCAGGUGUAGCGGUGAAAUGCGUAGAUAUCUGGAGGAAUACCGGUGGCGAAGGCGGCAUCCUGGACCGGCAUUGACGCUGAGGAGCGAAAGCCAGGGGAGCAAACGGG
rnacentral:rRNA from 1 species